GGCGAUAUAGUCAAAUGGUACGACAAAGGAUUGCAAAUCCUUCAAACCCCAGUUCGAAUCUGGGUAUCGCCU
rnacentral:tRNA from 1 species